CCAAAUUCACUCUCCCGAUCUCUUCCUCCUCACACGUGCCCGAAACCCCCUUUCCUCUCCGGCGAUUCCUCCUCGCCCGAUCGCCAGCCACCGCGAGUUCACCGCCAGCAGCGACCUAUCCUCUGCGUGCCUCACCAACACCAAACUCUCUUGGCUGUCGAUCCUCUCCUCCCUCUCCCUCGCGAUUCCUCCCCUAACUCGCGACGCCGACCCUGUGCUGCUUCGACUCGCCGAUCGCCCGACAUCCAUGAGCAGCCGAUGCUGGCCACCGCUUCCCGAGCCCUAGCUUCGGGUCUGUAACCUCCUUCUUGACCCACGACGCCAUCCUAGCAUGACUUGAUCUUGGACCAGAGCAAGAAUCGGAGCCCUAGCUCCCAUUCCUCGUCGCAGUAGCUGUGGAUCGCACGACACCAGCUGUAGGGAUUGGUUGAGGAGGCGACGUCGGAUCAACCUGGUGAUGGUUCUUCCCUAAGCAGACCUUGAUCUUCUCCAUUCCUUGCAGUUGAUUGAAGCCUCGAGUGAAGAGGUAGGGGUUCAAUUGAGGGUUUCUUUGGGUAGCUGUCGACAAGAGGUUUUGUUUGGAGGACAGUGGUGUUUCUUGGUUCCAGUAGUAGCUCCAGUUUUGCUUCCUGCAGCAAUUUUCUCCAUAGCAAAUCAAUUGUUGGGGGUAUAUGCUUUGAGAUCAUGAAUAAAGGCCAUCAGCUGGGGCAUUCAGAUCUCUUCACCGAGCUAUUGUAGAUCUACAGGUUGGAUUAGGGACCGUGAUAUGGGACGAUCAUCACGAUGUGGGAUUUAUUUUAGCACGAUCGACGUAUAAAGGUAGCUUGUAGAUGGUUGGUGUCGCUCGGAGUAUCCUGUCUGCCGGGUCCUACGUCACAUCC